rnacentral:rRNA from 1 species
UACAGAGGGGGGCAAGCGUUAUUCGGAAUUAUUGGGCGUAAAGCGCGCGCAGGCGGUCCUUUAAGUCUGAUGUGAAAGCCCACGGCUCAACCGUGGAGGGUCAUUGGAAACUGGGGGACUUGAGUACAGAAGAGAAGAGUGGAAUUCCACGUGUAGCGGUGAAAUGCGUAGAGAUGCGGAGGAACACCGAUGGCGAAGGCAGCCCCCUGGGCUAACACUGACGCUGAGGCGCGAA